AAGCUGUAUUAACACUUUCACAACUCCUACUGUCGCAUGACUAAUGGUCAUGCGGUCAGAAAACAAUAUAUUGACCAUGAUUUUUACUCAAAUCACCCUUUUUUUUGUACAUAACUAACCUAUUUCACAAUGACAGAAGAUGAGCAUUUAAACAACAGGAGAAGAAAUCCCCUAAGAUAAAUCAGUUUUUUUACAAAACCGGCAAGAUGGAGAGACUCUUUCUUCUGCCUUUUCUGUUUACAAUGUGCUGGGCUGUGCCUCAAGGACCUGAGCCCUAGGACCAUGCCUCAGGACUACCUGGUAUGAUGACUCCUUGCUGUCCCCAGUCCACCUGGCCGUGCUGCUGCUCCAGUUUCAACUGUUCUGCCUGCGGCUAUGGAAC